UACGUAGGGUGCAGGCGUUAAUCGGAAUUACUGGGCGUAAAGCGUGCGCAGGCGGUUUCUUAAGUCAGAUGUGAAAGCCCCGGGCUUAACCUGGGAACCGCGUUUGAAACUGGGAGACUUGAGUGUGGCAGAGGGGGGUGGAAUUCCACGUGUAGCAGUGAAAUGCGUAGAUAUGUGGAGGAACACCGAUGGCGAAGGCAGCCCCCUGGGUUAACACUGACGCUCAUGCACGAAAGCGUGGGGAGCAAACAGG
rnacentral:rRNA from 1 species